ensembl:misc_RNA Metazoa_SRP Metazoan signal recognition particle RNA
GCUGGCUUAUAGUCCCAGCUACACAGAGGCUGAGGCUGGAGGAUUGCCUGAGUCCAGGAGUUCUGGGCUGCCAUAUGCUAUGCUGAUCAGGUCCCAUCAAUACGGUGAUCUCCGGAGAGCAGGGUAUUACCAGGUUGCCUAAGGAGAGGUGAAACAGCCCAGGUCGGAAGUGGAGCAGGUCAAACCUCCUGUGCUGAUCAGUUUAUUAUUUUUAAGUUGCCUUUGCAUGCCUUAUUCUCAUCACAGCCUUACUUACACGGCAAAAUUAAAUUAAUU